rnacentral:rRNA from 1 species
AACGAACGCUGGCGGCAUGCCUAACACAUGCAAGUCGAACGAGAUCUUCGGGUCUAGUGGCGCACGGGUGCGUAACGCGUGGGAAUCUGCCCUUUGGUUCGGAAUAACAGUUGGAAACGACUGCUAAUACCGGAUGAUGACGAAAGUCCAAAGAUUUAUCGCCAGAGGAUGAGCCCGCGUAGGAUUAGCUAGUUGGUGUGGUAAAGGCGCACCAAGGCGACGAUCCUUAGCUGGUCUGGGAGGAUGAUCAGCCACACUGGGACUGAGACACGGCCCAGACUCCUACGGGAGGCAGCAGUGGGGAAUAUUGGACAAUGGGCGAAAGCCUGAUCCAGCAAUGCCGCGUGAGUGAUGAAGGCCUUAGGGUCGUAAAGCUCUUUUACCCGGGAUGAUAAUGACAGUACCGGGAGAAUAAGCUCCGGCUAACUCCGUGCCAGCAGCCGCGGUAA